UUAAAGCACGGCCUGAUGGGAAGGAAGAGACUUCAGCAGCAUCUGAUGCCCCCGGACACACACACACACACACACACACACACACACACACACACACACACAAAAUGAUUGCAACAAUAACCCCUGUGUGUGCGUUGCCUCUCAUGUUGAGCCUGACUCUCAGUUUUCGCCCUCUCUCUCCUCUCUCUUUGCUCUCUUUGUCUCCAGCUCAGGUGAAUUGUAGCCAUGUGAUCAAACGCCCAAGCCUCUAUCCAUUAACCCUCGUAAAUGAAAAAAUGGGGAACAAAAAGCAGUUUUGUGCUGCAAACAUGGAAAAAGUUGAUAACAGAGAGCGAUGUGUGCGUCUUUCUCCCCUUAUGUCCGAGCAUAGACACCAGUCGCGCACACAUAGAAAAUACUCUGCGGCAGACGGGACACUUGGAUCUCGCUGGUUCUCCCGCUCCGACACUUUUAUAUCUGUAAAUACUCUCCACAGCAGCAGGAUUUGGGCCUCGGAGGUGCUGAUGGUAGGGAGCUGUGUUUGGGGAUGAAGGCGGUGAUGGGUUGGUGAGGGGGCAGCGGUGGGGGGGCACCUAUGCUGCACCCCACCGACCAACUAGCAACACUGGGAUCCUGCAUGAGGCCUCCGAGGCUUGUGAAAUAUGUAGCCAACUAGUUUAACAGGAAAUGAAACAACUCCUGGGUAUUCCACCUGUCACCCAAAGAACUAUCACCUGUUCAUUUCUUUAAGCUGAUUCAUUUCAUAUGUAUGGAUAAAAACAAAAACAAAAAAAUGGGAAAACAGCAAUCUGGUGUUUUGCUUGGAUUUGCAUUUUCAGACAUUGUCUGUGCCCUGUGUGAAACUAUCACGGGCCUCGGGCGAAGCUGUAACUUGUUAGAAAAUAGAGCUCACAUGGUUGUAUCAGUCCCUGUGUUAACCUGCCAUGUGACUGCAGUAAUGGGCCUCUCCAUGACUGCACAGACCAUUGGGUCACAAGAGCCCGUUUCCUGCGGCUUCUGGGGGAAAGGAUGGGAGGACGACAAGGUCUCAUGAUCAGCAGGGAGGUCAAAGAUCAUGAUCAGCAGGGGGGUCAAAGAGUCAGCCUUCAGGUGCACACUUAGUCAUGGGCAGCCGUCUUUCAUGUGUGAUCAGGAUGAAAUUGAGUAAAGGGAUGAGUUUGAAGUUUUUUUUCUGGAGAAUAUUUUGUUGCGGAUGUUUUCAGAUAAAAAAAUGGGGUGAUCAGAUGAUGGAAGGACAAGGAAUGUAGAAGAGGAAAGAAAGAGCGAACACCCUUUUGCUUUGGCCUUAAUACUCAAACAACUCCCAGGGGAAAUUCCUGAAAUCUGACGAUGGAUGGAGAGAAAAGGCAAGAGAGAAAGAGAAAAACAGAGCGAUGCAGAUAGAGUGAGAGAGAGAG